AUCAAGCUUACUUUGCUGGAAAGCAUCAAGAGCAACCCGUCAGAAGCUGUCCCGCUUGAAAAUUCGAACCCGAAAACCAAGAGCAUUGCUGAAGUUAGUCUCAUGUGGGAGAUGUCUCUCUUCAAAAUCUCCAAGAUAGUUUUGGGAAUCUCUCAGAGGAUCCAUCCCACUGCCAUUGUAAUUUGUAUUUGCCUGUAUUUAGGCCGGUUUUUUUUUUCAUCCUCAUGUUAUAGGGUCCAAUUUCAUAAGGCCAAUCCUUAUUUUCAUUUAGUCUAAUAAAAAGCAUGUAGUUAUAUAUCUAAUGAAGAAAAAUUAGGAAUGUAG